ensembl:rRNA 5S_rRNA 5S ribosomal RNA
GCUUACGGCCACACCGGUCUGAGUACACCUGAUCUCGUCCGAUCUCGGAAGCUAAGCAGGGUCGGGCCUGGUUAGUACUUGGAUGGGAGACCGCCUGGAAAUACCAGGUGCUGUAAGCU